rnacentral:rRNA from 1 species
UACGUAGGGUGCAAGCGUUGUCCGGAAUUAUUGGGCGUAAAGAGCGUGUAGGCGGCCCGAUUAGUCCGCUGUGAAAGUCCAGGGCUCAACCCUGGAAUGCCGGUGGAUACUAUCGGGCUAGAGUCCGGAAGGGGCGAGUGGAAUUCCUGGUGUAGCGGUGAAAUGCGCAGAUAUCGGGAAGAACACCCGUGGCGAAGGCGGCUCUCUGGGACGGUACUGACGCUGAGACGCGAAAGCGUGGGGAGCGAACAGG